GGGAAGGUAGCUCAGUGCUAGAGUACUUGCCUUGCAUGCAUGAGGCCCUGGGUUCGAUUCCUCAGCACCA
rnacentral:tRNA from 1 species